GCUUUAAAAAUCCUCCCCCGACUGCGUCACGUCCUCUUGGAGUUGGUGCCAUCUUAGAAAGAAACAACUCCACAAGAUGCGAGCGAAGUGGAGGAAGAAGAGAAUGCGCAGGCUGAAGCGGAAGAGAAGAAAGAUGAGGCAGAGGUCCAAGUAAACUGGCUUCUCUCCACUGCAACUGUGAGCCCUUCCGUCCCCGCUGCCUGUUCCCUGCGGACGGCAGGCAGGCCUGGAGUUGGAGCUGCUGCAGCUGGAGGACGUGCCUGUUGUUACACCCCUCAUGUACCAGGCAAUGCUGUGGGGGAGAGACGACCUGACCAGGAGGAGGAGGAGAUGAACUGGCGCCUGAGCUCUCCUCUGGGAGGCACUGGACUCUUUGACACCAGCCCAGCACAGUUGCUUUGUAUAAAACCUUCAAUAAAUUCUUUUGGUAUUAAAAAC